rnacentral:misc_RNA from 1 species
UAGUGCCAAGAGGCAGCAAGGAG